UACGGGGGGUGCGAGCGUUGUCCGGAAUCACUGGGCGUAAAGGGCGCGUAGGUGGCAUGAUAAGGGUGUGGUGAAAGCCCGGGGCUCAACCCCGGGUCUGCCAUGCCGACUGUCACGCUAGAGUACUGUAGGGGCAGGCGGAAUUCCGGGUGUAGCGGUGGAAUGCGUAGAGAUCCGGAGGAACACCGGUGGCGAAGGCGGAUCUCUGGGCCAUUACUGACGCUGAGGAGCGAAAGCGUGGGGAGCGAACAGG
rnacentral:rRNA from 1 species